CUCUAGAAACACCCUCUCUCACCUACCCAACUCCAAUCUCACCAAUAACUCUUGAUUUCAACGUUAAAUCAUCAAGAUCCAAGGGUUUCCAACCUCAAAAUCACUUGAAUCUUGCAUUUGAAGAUCAAGGGAUCUUGUAUCUAAGCUUGGGUGGAGCUCGUUUUUGGAGGAUUCAAGCAAAUAUCUCUCGGUAGACCUAGGGUUUUGCUCAAAACCCACUUUGGUUCGAAUGCCAGUCAAUAGCGUGUCUACAUCGAGUGUUGAGAUGUGAAGACUUUUAUUCUGGAAGCUAACUACAUUUUAGUUACUCAUUCAUCUUUGU